rnacentral:rRNA from 1 species
UACAUACAACAGAAGGGAUUCGCUGGUGGUCACCCACCCAACUACUAACCUCCCGGCGUGUGGCUUGAGUACGGCUGAGCGGACGGGAAGCCCUAUUUUCCACACCCUAUGGUCGU